GAUGAACGCUAGCUACAGGCUUAACACAUGCAAGUCGAGGGGAAACGUCAUUGAGUGCUUGCACUCUUUGGACGUCGACCGGCGCACGGGUGAGUAACGCGUAUCCAACCUUCCCAUUACUGUGGGAUAACCUGCCGAAAGGCAGACUAAUACCGCAUAGUCUUCGAUGACGGCAUCAGAUUUGAAGUAAAGAUUUAUCGGUAAUGGAUGGGGAUGCGUCUGAUUAGCUUGUUGGCGGGGUAACGGCCCACCAAGGCUACGAUCAGUAGGGGUUCUGAGAGGAAGGUCCCCCACAUUGGAACUGAGACACGGUCCAAACUCCUACGGGACGCAGCAGUGAGGAAUAUUGGUCAAUGGACGGAAGUCUGACCCAGCCAAGUAGCGUGCAGGAGGACGGCCCUAGGGGUUGUAAACUGCUUUUGUAUGGGGAUAAAGUUAGGGACGUGUCCCUAUUUGCAGGUACCAUACGAAUAAGGACCGGCUAAUUCCGUG
rnacentral:rRNA from 1 species